rnacentral:rRNA from 1 species
UACGUGAAACCGCUCAGAGGUAAACGGGUGGAUCCGCAAAAGUCGGCCGGCAGAAUUCAGCGCGGCGCGCGGCUCCGGGGCUGCUGUAGUCUGGGAUCCCUUGGACCCAACUGCGGUGCUGCGCCGGGCCCCGCCGUGUGCACUUUCUGCCGGCAGAGAGCCACAACCGGUUCGGCGUUGUGGCGGUGAGAUGUCAGGUGGGGUUGUAGGUGGGGGCGCUUGCGUCCCUACCAGCCCUAUUUGUCGAGCCGCCUCCGGACCGAGGAACUGCCAAGCGCUUCGAGGCCACCCUCCUCUCGGGGUGAGUUCGACUGGGAGAGACUGGGCAACCGUGUCUCCUGAACGCUUACUUUCGAUCAGCGCGGGGCUGGCCGGGCGCAUUCAGUGUGGGUUUGUGGCGAGUCUGUCGGCACUCCACCCGACCCGUCUUGAAACACGGACCAAGGAGUCUAACAUGCGCGCGAGUCAUUGGGUGGUACGAAACCCAAAGGCGCAGUGAAAGCGAGGUCGGUCAAACGCCUAGGUGGGAUCCGUCCCCUGAAGCUCUCUCCGAGGGUCAUUGGGGGGCGGCGCG